rnacentral:sRNA from 3 species
CCAGUGGCUCAUUCACCUUCUUAUGUCAGCCCCUUAGGGACGCGCUACAUAAACUUCGAAUGACGCACAACAAGGUGCCUGCCGUCCAACUUCUGAUAACAGCGUAGCUUUAUCAACCUCCGGGCGAAACGUCGAGUUAGGCACCGCCUUAUUCCAUAACAAAGCCGGGUUUA